CACGUAGGGGGCGAGCGUUGUUCGGAAUUACUGGGCGUAAAGGGCAUGUAGGCGGCUCUGUAAGUCCGGCGUGGAAGCCCACGGCUCAACCGUGGGAUUGCGCUGGAAACUGUGGGGCUUGAAUCAUGGAGAGGGAGCUAGAAUUCCAGGUGUAGGGGUGAAAUCUGUAGAGAUCUGGAAGAAUACCAGUGGCGAAGGCGAGCUCCUGGCCAAUGAUUGACGCUGAGGUGCGAAAGUGUGGGGAUCAAACAGG
rnacentral:rRNA from 1 species